rnacentral:rRNA from 1 species
GGAAGUAAAAGUCGUAACAAGGUUGAUCCGUAGGUGAACCUGCGGAAGGAUCAUUA